GUUUUAGCUGCAGCUGAACAAGCUCGUUUGAAAGCUGAUCUUCAGCAACCUGAACAAGAAGGAACAAGGAAACCUUGGGAUCCCAUUCCAUUCAAUGAAGUAGAAAGGAAGAAGAAAAUGAAGAAUGACAGAAAGCAACAGCCUACUAAACAAUUAGAGAGUCUUAAGUAUCCAGUUUUAGAUGCUGAAAAGGCAGAGGAAGCUCGACUGAAGAAGAAU